ensembl:lncRNA
AACAGAUCCUCGCAAGUAGUGUGGUGGUGUGUGUGUGUGUGUGUCUGUGUGUGUGUGUGUGUGUGUGUGUGUGUAAGGGAGGCAGGGAGCUGAGUAAACGGCUUAAAGCUGGUUGUAAUUGUGUUUUACUGCAGUCACUCCCAGAGGCACAGCCUCGUUGGCCUGUAUGCAGGACUCAAUGGGAUCCAGGUGUGAACACAACACAAUGGUUUCAAGGGAUACUAAUUUACCAAAGGAGUGGAGAAAAGUAACAGUCAGGGAUGAGAAUGAAUGUGUGAAAACUGAGAAGAGUUUUGGGGUUAAAGUUUGACACUGUGGUGUGUCCCAGGGGAGGUUCAUUUAAAAAGGAGCUUUCAGAGUGCAUGGUUGAGUGUCCCAGGUCUAAAUCAGUCCCUGAUUAAAGGGGAAUCACCCACCUGGUGUCCCAGGUCUAAAUCAGGGAACAAUGAAAUAAUGCAGUGAAACUGUCUUGGAGAUCCGGAGUUGAGUUUGAAGGCCCUAUAUAAUGCACUACUCACCCUAUUCCCUAUAUAAGCACUACUCACCCUAUUCCCUAUAUAGUGCACUACUUUUGACCUAGGGUGCCAUUUGCCAUCACACCUCUCUGAAACUAUGCAAAUCUGCCCGUCAUAUCAAGCUUGAGUGUGUCAGUGGAGAGGGAGGAAAACCCUUUUGACGGGGGGUUCCCGGUCUAGAAGGAACUGUAGUCCUUUCCAGCAGCUUCUUCUAGUGAAUCCUAUUGAAAUCCAGAAGAUUUUACAGGCUUUCCUACGAGGUAGAGAUGGAUUAAUGAUAAUAUGGAGAUUGUGGAGAAUAUUUGCUUCCAACAACAAGAGGCAGACUUUGCAGAGACUCAGUGUGCCUCACAAAAGUAGUGCACUAUAAAGGGAAUAGGGUGCCAUUUGGGACUCAGAGGAGUUUCUAAAAGAUAUUACAGCAUUAUUCAGACAUGGUGGGAGAUUAACAUGCUCAAUUACAAACUGUUCUGUAGGGCCAUUAUCCCAGUCUCUAAUGUAGCCCAGUGGGACCAUUAUCCCAGUCUCUAAUGUAGCCCAUUGGGGCCAUUAUCCCAGUCGCUAAAGUAGCCCAGUGGGGCCAUUAUCCCAGUCUCUAAGGUAGCCCAGUGGGACCAUUAUCCCAGUCUCUAAUGUAGCCCAUUGGGGCCAUUAUCCCAGUCGCUAAAGUAGCCCAGUGGGGCCAUUAUCCCAGUCUCUAAGGUAGCCCAGUGGUGCCAUUAUCCUAGUCUCUAAGGUAGCCCAGUGGUGCCAUUAUCCCAGUCUCUAAGGGAUCCCAGUGGGGCACUUAUCCCAGUCUCUAAUGUAGCCCAGUGGGACCAUUAUCCCAGUCGCUAAAGUAGCCCAGUGGGGCAUUAUCCCUGUCUCUUAAGGUAGCCCAGUGGGGCCAUUAUCCCAGUCUCUAAGGUAUCCCAGUGGGGAUAUUAUCCCAGUCUCUAAGGUAGCCCAGUGGGCCAUUGUCCCAGUCUCUAAGGUAGCCCAGUGGGGCCAUUAUCCCAGUCUCUAAGGUAGCCCAGUGGGGCCAUUAUCCCAGUCUCGAAUGUAGCCCAGUGGGGCCAUUAUCCCAGUCUCGAAUGUAGCCCAGUGGUGCCAUUAUCCUAUCUCGAAUGUAGCCCAGUGGGGCCAUUAUCCCAGUCUCUAAGGUAGCCCAGUGGGGCCAUUAUCCCAGUCUCGAAUGUAGCCCAGUGGGGCCAUUAUCCCAGUCUCAAAUGUAGCCCAGUGGGGCCAUUAUCCCAGUCUCGAAUGUAGCCCAGUGGGGCCAUUAUCCCAGUCUCGAAUGGAGCCCAGUGGUGCCAUUAUCCCAUCUCGAAUGUAGCCCAGUGGGGCCAUUAUCCCAGUCUCUAAUGUAGCCCAGUGGGGCCAUUAUCCCAGUCUCUAAGGUAGCCCAGUGGGGCCAUUAUCCCAGUCUCUAAUGUAGCCCAGUGGGGCCAUUAUCCCAGUCUCGAAUGUAGCCCAGUGGGGCCAUUAUCCCAGUCUCGAAUGUAGCCCAGUGGUGCCAUUAUCCCAGUCUCGAAAGUAGCCCAGUGGGGCCAUUAUCCCAGUCUCUAAUGUAGCCCAGUGGUGCCAUUAUCCCAGUCUCGAAUGUAGCCCAGUGGGGCCAUUAUCCCAGUCUCUAAUGUAGCCCAGUGGGGCCAUUAUCCCAGUCUCUAAUGUAGCCCAGUGGGGCCAUUAUCCCAGUCUCUAAUGUAGCCCAUUGGGGCCAUUAUCCCAGUCUGUAAGGUAGCCCAGUGGGGCCAUUAUCCCAGUCUCUAAUGUAGCCCAGUGGGGCCAUUAUCCCUGUCUCUAAUGUAGCCCAGUGGGGCCAUUAUCCCAAUCUCUAAGGUAGCCCAGUGGGGCCAUUAUCCCAGUCUCGAAUGUAGCCCAGUGGGGCCAUUAUCCCAGUCUCUAAUGUAGCCCAGUGGUGCCAUUAUCCCAGUCUGUAAGGUAGCCCAGUGGGGCCAUUAUCCCAGUCUCUAAUGUAGCCCAGUGGUGCCAUUAUCCCAGUCUGUAAGGUAGCCCAGUGGGGCCAUUAUCCCAGUCUCUAAGGUAGCCUAGGUGAUAUGCUGCUAUUUAUUUUCUAUUAUGCGAGUUUAAUGUGAUUUUCCAAUUAUACAACAGCAUGUGGGGAAGCAACUGAGGUAAAGGACUUAUUGGUUAAAUAUGAUUGAGUUGUAGAUUCCAGAGUAAUUCUUUACGCUCACAAAUAGAGCAUGGUUUACUGAUAAUAAUGGUAUAAUAAUGAUUCAAUGUGAUAAUGGUGAUAAUGGUAUAAUAAUGAUUCAAUGUGAUAAUGGUGAUAAUGGUAUAAUAAUGAUUCAAUGUGAUAAUGGUACAAUAAUGAUUCAAUGUCAUAAUGGUAUAAUAAUGAUUCAAUGUGAUAAUGGUGAUAAUGGUAUAAUAAUGAUUCAAUGUGAUAAUGGUAUAAUAAUGAUUCAAUGUGAUAAUGGUGAUAAUGGUAUAAUAAUGAUUCAAUGCGAUAAUGGUGAUAAUGGUCCAAUAAUGAUUCAAUGUGAUAAUGGUGCUAAUGGUAUAAUAAUGAUUCAAUGUGAUAAUGGUGAUAAUGGUAUAAUAAUGAUUCAAUGUGAUAAUGGUAUAAUAAUGAUUCAAUGUGAUAA